GGCUCGGUGGUGGAUGGUCCACGCUCGCUUCUCCUGGGUUGUUCUGAAAUGCCAAUGCGCGCGAGAGAUGCUUGUUCGAUCCAGGCCCGAGCCG